rnacentral:rRNA from 1 species
UACAGAGGGUGCGAGCGUUAAUCGGAAUUACUGGGCGUAAAGCGCGCGUAGGCGGCUUUGCAAGUCGAGUGUGAAAUCCCCAGGCUUAACCUGGGAACUGCAUUCGAGACUGCAUAGCUAGAGUAUGGGAGAGGGAAGUGGAAUUUCAGGUGUAGCGGUGAAAUGCGUAGAUAUCGGGAAGAACACCCGUGGCGAAGGCGGCUCUCUGGGACGGUACUGACGCUGAGACGCGAAAGCGUGGGGAGCGAACAGG